GUUACGCUGGCCGCGUGCCUAUUCAUGCAAGUCGCGCGAAUGGAUUAAGAGCUUGCUCUUAUGAAGUUAGCGGCGGACGGGUGAGUAACACGUGGGUAACCUGCCCAUAAGACUGGGAUAACUCCGGGAAACCGGGGCUAAUACCGGAAUAACAUUUUGAACCGCAUGGUAUCGAAAUUGAAAGGCGGCUUCGGCUGUCACUUAUGGAUGGACCCGCGUCGCAUUAGUCUAGUUGGUGAGGUAACGGCUCACCAAGGCAACGAUGCGUAGCCGACCWGAGAGGGUGAUCGGUCUCACUGGGACUGAGACACGGCCCARAACUCCUACGGGAGGCAGCAGUAGGGAAUCU
rnacentral:rRNA from 1 species